rnacentral:lncRNA from 1 species
UAAUAACAUGAAUAGUGAAAAAAAGGCAAUCCACCAAAAGGUAUUGAUUUUACUUUAUAACUUGAACACACUACAUAGGAAACUUCUGACAAAAGUUUCUAAACCACCUAAAAAUGCUUCUUUUGUAGUACUUUCACAAUAAUACUUCAUGUCUGCAUUCAUGUUUAACUUCAGGGGAUCGGUGUAAAAGGAAUAUUUUGAAAUCAUAAUGCACUAUGCAUCAUUGCAGCAGAAGGAGGAUGCCUGCAGCCCAAUAACAUUUAUGUUAUUUGCCUGGUCAUUAAGGACAGUAAAAUAUAUGUUAUAAGUGAACUGUGCACAACUUUAUAGUCGAAUCUGAUACUUCUAUAACCUAUAUGACCAAGCAAAAAUGCAGGGUAAUAAUACACUUACCACUCUAAGCUCUGAAUCUAGCACCAUUUACACAAAUUGAAUACUUAAAUGUCCAGAAAUUAUAAGCUCGAGAAAUUUCUGGCUAACAAUACACUGAUAUGAUGGCAUCUAUUUUAUUGUCAAAAGUAGCAGUUUCCCCUACCGGAGCACCUUUUGCAAGAUAUAAUCAGAUUCUCCACCUCUUAAUUCAAAUGCAUGUCUCAUAUAUUCCCGAAUUCAACUGUCCAAAUAUUAAGAAGCGAACAACUCCGGCAGCUCUUGAGCCAACACAUUGUACCUGAAACAUAAAUGGUAUGGUAAGUUGAUAUGAACAUCCGUUACAUCAAUGGACUAUGGAGGUUAAUGGCAUAUGAUGUACUGAGUCCAUGAUGUACUCCUCGGCUCUUCGCACAUAGAGAAUAAAGACCGUUGAGCACAAUGGUUCCUCUUGUGCAUUGCAUCAAACACAUGACAUGUAUACUGUCAAAGAAAUCAAAUUCUGGAUAGCUUCAAAAACACGGGGCACAAAAGGUUAAUUGGGAAGAUAGUUUGCUUGAGCAAAGCCAGCCACCGCGUGCCGUGGCUGCCAUUGCCUCGCUUGUCGGAUGAUCAGUGCACGGAGCACCAGUGAAAGCUUCAUCCAAAUAUUUAUGUUACAGACCUUUUUUUUGCAGGAAAAUAUUCCAGACCUUAUUUCUAUGAAACGAAUAACUAAGCAUACUUUGUAUCAUUUGAACAUUGUUUAAAGAAGUAGAGAGGGGAUCGGACCAUAUAAGUUUAUUUCAGUAGGCUCCCACUGCUGGCCACCACUAUCGAUACAAGAUGUAAGAUCGAGCAUGACAGUACAACCUUCCCGUCCUCCUUGCUCCACCUCCAAGCCGCUAAGAGAAGCUCAAAGCAUUGCGCUUCCAUAACAAUGAACGGCGAGGUGGUGCAGGAGGCCUGCGCCGUGCUGCUGGAGUGCGUGCUAGGGCUUCGACUGCCUGGCUAUCAGGAAACAUAUAAAUUAGUCAUGAAAAAAGCAAGAUGGAGAAUUAGGCAACCAGGUAGAGGCUGCCCUGCAUCACGAAGAGGUACUUCCCUGCCCUGGCGACUGAUGACUGCCCUGCCACCAGCCCACCACCAGCGACGGCGAAGACCCUGGCGUGGCGCAGGGACCCAUCACAAGGACCCGCCUGAUCCUUCAUCAUCGCACCGUGGUCUGCAUACAGCCGCCACAACGACCUCCAUCCGCCCCCCGUCCGCGAUCGAUCUUAGCCGCGAAGCGCAGCCAGCGACCUCCAUUAUCGCCCUCGUCCCGCGCCCACCGGUUGAAUGGACCGCCCCCAAAUGCUAGGUUCUAUAGAUCGACUCGCGACCCGCAU